rnacentral:rRNA from 1 species
GGUAAGUCAGAGGUGAAAGCCCGCAGCUUAACUGUGGGAAUUUGCCUUUGAUACUGCUCACCUUGAGUCCAGCUGAGGUAGGCGGAAUGUAGUAUGUAGCGGUGAAAUGCUUAGAUAUACUACAGAACACCGAUUGCGAAGGCAGCUUACCAAACUGGCACUGACGCUCAGGCACGAAAGCGUGGGGAGCGAACAGGAUUAGAUACCCUGGUAGUCCACGCCGUAAACGUUGAUCACUCGUUGUUGGCAAUACACCGUCAGCGACCUAGCUAAUGCGCUAAGUGAUCCACCUGGGGAGUACGAUCGCAAGGUUGAAACUCAAAGGAAUUGACGGGGGCCCGCACAAGCGGAGGAGCAUGUGGUUUAAUUCGAUGAUACGCGAGGAACCUUACCUGGGCUUAAAUGUAGUGUGCAUUCCCGUGAAAACGGGAUUUCCUUCGGGACCCACUACAAGGUGCUGCAUGGUUGUCGUCAGCUCGUGCCGUGAGGUGUCGGGUUAAGUCCCAUAACGAGCGCAACCCCUAUCUUUAGUUGCUAACAGGUCAUGCUGAGGACUCUAAAGAAACUGCCCGCGCAAGCGGUGAGGAAGGUGGGGAUGACGUCAAAUCAGCACGGCCCUUAUGUCCAGGGCUACACACGUGCUACAAUGGCAGGUACAGUGGGCAGCUAUCACGCAAGUGAAUGCUAAUCUCUAAAACCUGUCUCAGUCCGGAUUGAAGUCUGCAACCCGACUCCAUGAAGCUGGAUUCGCUAGUAAUCGCACAUCAGCCAUGGUGCGGUGAAUACGUUCCCGGGCCUUGUACACACCGCCCGUCAAGCCAUGGAAGCUGGGAGUACCUGAAGUCUGUAACCGCAAGGAGCGCCCUAGGGUAACCGGUGACUGGGCUAAGUCGGAGCA